rnacentral:rRNA from 1 species
CCUCAAAUCAGGUAGGACUACCCGCUGAACUU